UACAGAGGUCUCAAGCGUUGUUCGGAUUCAUUGGGCGUAAAGGGUGCGUAGGUGGCGCCAUAAGUCAGGUGUGAAAUCUCGGGGCUUAACUCCGAAACUGCAUUUGAUACUGCCGUGCUUGAGGACUGGAGAGGAGACUGGAAUUUACGGUGUAGCGGUGAAAUGCGUAGAUAUCGUAAGGAAGACCAGUGGCGAAGGCGGGUCUCUGGACAGUUCCUGACGCUGAGGCACGAAGGUCAGGGGAGCAAACGGG
rnacentral:rRNA from 1 species